ACGUAGGGAGCGAGCGUUACUCGGAAUCACUGGGCAUAAAGGGCGUGUAGGCGGGUGCGCAAGUCCGAUGUGAAAUCCACCGGCUCACCCGGUGAAGUGCAUUGGAUACUGCGUGUCUGGAGUGUGGGAGAGGAGAGCGGAACUCUUGGUGGAGCGGUGAAAUGCGUAGAUAUCAAGAGGAACGCCGGUGGCGAAAGCGGCUCUCUGGCCCAUUACUGACGCUGAGGCGCGAAAGCUAGGGGAGCAAACGG
rnacentral:rRNA from 1 species